GAUGAACGCUAGCUACAGGCUUAACACAUGCAAGUCGAGGGGUAACGAGAGGAAAGCUUGCUUUCCUUGUCGACGACCGGCGCACGGGUGAGUAACGCGUAUCCAACCUGCCCCCAACUAGGGGAUAACCUUGCGAAAGUAAGACUAAUACCCUAUAAUUUCCUCAGAUGACAUCUGACGAAGAAUAAAGAUUUAUCGGUUGUGGAUGGGGAUGCGUCUGAUUAGCUUGUUGGCGGGGUAACGGCCCACCAAGGCAACGAUAAGUAGGGGUUCUGAGAGGAAGGUCCCCCACAUUGGAACUGAGACACGGUCCAAACUCCUACGGGAGGCAGCAGUGAGGAAUAUUGGUCAAUGGGCGGAAGCCUGAACCAGCCAAGUAGCGUGCAGGAUGACGGCCCUAUGGGUUGUAAACUGCUUUUAUACAGGAAUAAAGUUAGCCACGUGUGGUUAUUUGUAGGUACUGUAUGAAUAAGGACCGGCUAAUUCCGUGCCAGCCGCCGCGGUAA
rnacentral:rRNA from 1 species